AUUGAACGCUGGCGGCAGGCCUAACACAUGCAAGUCGAACGAGUGGCGGACGGGUGAGUAAUGGCUGGGAAACUGCCUGAUGGAGGGGGCUAACUACUGGAACCGGUAGCUAAUACCGCAUACGGUCAGAUGUGCCCAGAGGGGAUUAGCUAGUUGGUGGGGUAACGGCUCACCAAGGCGACGAUCCCUAGCUGGUCUGAGAGGAUGACCAGCCACACUGGAACUGAGACACGGUCCAGACUCCUACGGGAGGCAGCAGUGGGGAAUCUUGGACAAUGGGCGAAAGCCUGAUGCAGCCAUGCCGCGUGUAUGAAGAAGGCCUUCGGGUUGUAAAGUACUUUCAUCGGGGAGGCGUUAUCCGCAGAAGAAGCACCGGCUAACUCCGUGCCAGCAGCCGCGGUAAUAC
rnacentral:rRNA from 1 species